CUCAAGAUGUGGAGAAAAUCUGUAACAGUGUGGUGCACCUCUACUCUAAUGUCAGCAACGUAAUGCAGAAAACACGAAAAAAAAACUACAAAUUUUCUGUAAUUCUGAACCAUUUGUCUUCAGUUUGAGCACACUUGAUUAUUUUCUCUUUUCAUGCAGCCUCUAGACAUAUUGAUCUGUAUCUGCAAACUGCUCUUUUAAUGCUUUAGUUUCAUAGAAAUUACCAGCUAAUUUUGUCCAUCAGUCUCAACUUUAAGUUUGAAACCUCUGCCUGCUCUUAUGUAGGGUCCAGCUAGCUUGCUGAUCUAUAGUGUAUAGUGUAUAGCUGUACUAUAGCAUAUCUGGUGUUCUCCAGUCUGCUCCUUACAGGGCUACGCAGGCCGAUUGGCAAGAUGACUAUAACUGAGCAGAGGUAUGAGGGGGAGUACAGAAGUGUCAGCUCUCGCUUCAUCACUAACAGAUUGCAUUCUACAAUGGAAACAGGAGAGAAAAGCAAACUAUCAAUGGAACAUUCCAGAGACUGCCAUAGUGGUGGGCUAACUGGUUAUUAGAAGGCCGUUCCUGGACCUCACAAACCAGCGGAAAGUGAACAUCACACACUCUGAAGGACUGGAAAUGAGACUACUACCAGAGUGGGCGGAUGUCGAUGAGUUUGGCGCAGGCCCUGAGAAGGCAGAGAUAUGACAGGACUGUCAGGAGAUGAUUCAGUAGAGAAAAUCCCUCUUACCCUGGGAGAGAUCCAGUCAUCAUCAUCAUCAUCAUGACAUGAUCGCUUUAUAUGAAGAACAGAUUAAAUUUAGACUUUUAUUUACCUAUAAACAUUGAUCAACAAUCCACAUACGUAUACUGUAGAAAAAGAUCAACCAUGCUUGCUUGACACAAAAGAAUGAAGUUUGUUUACCCGUGUCACACAACUUCGGUUGACCAUAUUUGAUGAGCUUUAUGACUGUGGAAAUCCAUUUUUAUUUGUGAAUAAAAGCCUAAAUUAUAUCUUAUUAUAUCUUAUCUUAAUAUAAAGUACAAAAGUACAUAAAGUAAAAAUGUUUGUUCAGAGGACUUAAUUUGCUUAAUUCAUAUAGAUUACUUUUAUAAUCUCUUAUAUACACAAUAUUCUUCUGCACGAUAAAUGCAAAAAUGUUGUGUUGAAAGAAGAAGACCUUGAGGCAAAUGCUUAUUAUUUAGGACUAGAGGAAGUGCUCACUCCUCACCCCACCAUUCUCGUCUUCUGUCGUACGUGAGAAGUCAGGAAUGGAUUUGUUACUCCUGUGGGAGUUUGCUUUAGAGACAUCUGUCUCCCUGAGCUCCGCUGGAAUCAUCUGUUUCCUCUUUUCAGGUUGGCAUCACACUGCUCACAGUCUCCCACAGGAAAUCACUAUGGAAGCACCACGAGGUACAACUUAGCCCCCGUCUUUCUUCAUACAGUUUGCAGAAUUCAUUCCAAAACCUCAAGUUAUGCCCUAUGAUAUUUUUAACUCUUUGUAUCUCUAUACUGGAGUGUUACUUGCCAAUGGAUGGAAAGGGAAACUAUGAGUUUAAACCCAUCAUGAAGGAAACGGUGGCGUUUGGAUCAUAAUAAUGACACUUAUUCAUGAGUCAGUCUUUGAGUAAAUCAUCCAUAAUGAAAUCAUUCAAAUAUUUGCGCAAGAAUGAUUUUACACAGAAAUUCACAGCCCUGAAUGAGGCCUAUCUGUACUAGAUGUGGAUCUGAAGCAAUUGUAUUGUGUACCUAGUGAAUUAAAAAACUCUUUAUAUUAUAAAACUUUGUUGAAAUAUAACGGCUUUUCUUCGUCUGAGAGAAAGGAUUGUAACUCUGUGGAUAAAUAUGUCUCAGGGAGGGGUUACUGCGCAUUAUCUGAAAAGAUUUUUGUAAGGAAUAAAAUUGGGUUUGUUAUCCCUUUUAAGAAUCAAGCAUUUGUAAUAUAAAAAGUCAUUUUUUGUUGUGAUACUUGAUUUGUAUUUUGAAACUGGAACAGUCACAUGCAUAUGUUGUUGUCAAUAAAAUUGUUGCAUGCCACUGGAUACUAUGGAUAGUGUAUUAUUUAAGUGUAAUGAGCAGUCUAUGUAUUUUAUUUUAAAAGAUAAUAAUGCCUAAAAAUAUAUGUUUGAGAAAAUUCUUGAUACAUUGUGCUUUACAGACCAGUUCUAUUUAUUUUAUUGAAUUACAGAACGUGCAAUGAAAUAUCUUGUGAGAUAUUUUAAAAGCAAAGAAACUCUAAAUUGGUUUUAUGGUCAAUUUGUUUUAAUUUGACAUUUGGUUUGAGAGGUUUUUUAGGCUUUUUUACUUUUAUUUAGGAUAGGUUACUGCUUUGGAAGGCAUACACACAUUUGUUUGUUUCAAGUAUAAUUUAUGUCUUGAACAGAAAACAAAAACAAGACUUUUACAUCUUUACCAUAGUUUACCACAAGAGUGAGCUACUGGGACCAGAAUGCAACACUUUAUUUUUCACCAGAGAGUGUCUCCCGGUUCGUUUUCAUUUGUGUUGUGUUGCACAAUCUGAACAUGCUUUCUGUGCCAUUAGGGUUUUUGUUUAAAAAUGUAAAACAAGGAAUUGCUGCCUCAAAAGAUUACACUCUUCCUCUUUUUUUUGGAUUGUGCAAGUCCUUUUAAAUAAAUAAUUACAAAGCAUAGGUCAAUUAAGUUAAGUUUUGGUACCCCUUUAAAAAAAAAAAAAAAAAUUCAUGACAAGUAUAAUAAUUUAUUUGCGGUUUCUAUCUUUUGAAGUUCCUAGAUAUUAAAAAACAUAAAUAUAAAUAUUUCUUUUUCUACUAGAUAUAAUACUGUAUACACAAAGCAGCUAAUACAUGUAUUUCUAAAGAAAAUAAUAAAUAAUGGCAUUUAAUAAACCAAUACAUUUCAAAUACAAUACAUCUAUGACAAAAAAAAGAGAAAAAAAAAAAA